rnacentral:lncRNA from 1 species
GGAGUGACGGUGCCACCGCGGCGCGAUUGACUUCUAAAGACUCUUGGUACGUGAGGAAGAAACCCGGAAGAGGAAGAGGAGAGCAAAGGAGUCAGGGAUGGCUUUUUCUCAGGGUCUAUUGACAUUCAGGGAUGUGGCCAUAGAAUUCUCUCAGGAGGAGUGGAAGUGCCUGGACCCUGCUCAGAGGACUCUAUACAGGGACGUGAUGCUGGAGAAUUAUAGGAACCUGGUCUCCCUGGGUGAGGAUAACUUCCCUCCAGAAGUGGGGAUGUGCCCUUGUGGAUCUUUGUAUUUUCUCUUGUUUUUAGAUACAGUGUCUUGCUCUGUCACCCAGGGUGGAGUGCAAUGGUGUGAUCAUGGCUCACUGCAAUCUUGAAUUCCUGGGCUCAAGUGAUUGUCCCACCUCAGCCUCCCCCGGUAGCUGGUACAGGUGCAUGCCACCAUGUUUGGGCAAAUUUUUUAGUUUGUUUUCUUUCCAGACAGGGUCUUGCUGUGUUGUUGAAAUUCAUCUUGAUCUCCUGAGCUCAAGAGAUCCUCCUCAGUCUCCCGAGUAGCUGAGAUUACAG